GUUUGAUCAUGGCUCAGAUUGAACGCUGGCGGCAUGCCUUACACAUGCAAGUCGAACGGCAGCACGGGUGCUUGCACCUGGUGGCGAGUGGCGAACGGGUGAGUAAUACAUCGGAACGUACCUUAUCGUGGGGGAUAACGCAGCGAAAGCUGUGCUAAUACCGCAUACGCCCUGAGGGGGAAAGCGGGGGAUCGAAAGACCUCGCGCGAUUAGAGCGGCCGAUGCCUGAUUAGCUUGUUGGUGGGGUAAAAGCCCACCAAGGCGACGAUCAGCAGCUGGUCUGAGAGGACGAUCAGCCACACUGGGACUGAGACACGGCCCAGACUCCUACGGGAGGCAGCAGUGGGGAAUUUUGGACAAUGGGGGAAACCCUGAUCCAGCAAUGCCGCGUGAGUGAAGAACGCCUUCGGGUUGUAAAGCUCUUUUGUCAGGGAAGAAACACCGGCUCUAACACAGUCCGGGAAUGACGGUACCUGAAGAAUAAGCACCGGCUAACUACGUGCCAGCAGCCGCGGUAAUACGUAGGGUGCGAGCGUUAAUCGGAAUUACUGGGCGUAAAGCGUGCGCAGGCGGUUAUACAAGACAGGCGUGAAAUCCCCGGGCUUAACCUGGGAAUGGCGCCUGUGACUGUAUAGCUAGAGCUGUGUCAGAGGGGGUAGAAUUCCACCGUGUAGCAGUGAAAUGCGUUAAUAUGUUGAGGAAUAACAAUGGCGAAGCAGCCCCUUGGGGUAACACUGACGCUCAUGCACGAAAGCUUGCGGAGCAAACAGGAU
rnacentral:rRNA from 1 species